rnacentral:rRNA from 1 species
GAUCUUAAUCCAUUACUUGGAUACCUGUUCUAAUUGAAGAGCUAAUACAUGCAACUAAGUCCUGACCGCAAGGAAGGGAUGCACUUAUUAGACCAAAACCAAUCGGGCUCUGCCUGAGGUUUGGUGACUCUGAAUAAUUUCGCUGACCGCACGGUCUCGCACCGGCGGCGCAUCUUUCAAAUGUCUGCCUUAUCAACUUUCGAUGGUAGUUUAUGCGCCUACCAUGGUUGUAACGGGUAACGGAGAAUAAGGGUUCGACUCCGGAGAGGGAGCCUGAGAAACGGCUACCACAUCCAAGGAAGGCAGCAGGCACGCAAAUUACCCACUCCCGGUACGGGGAGGUAGUGACGAAAAAUAACGAGACGGUUCUCUACGAGAUUCCGUCAUCGGAAUGGGUACAAUCUAAAUCCUUUAACGAGGAUCUAUUGGAGGGCAAGUCUGGUGCCAGCAGCCGCGGUAAUUCCAGCUCCAAAAGCGUAUAUUAAAGUUGUUGCGGUUAAAAAGCUCGUAGUUGGAUCUGCGUCUUGAACUAGUGGUCCCCCAGCGGGUGGUUACUGCU